CCUUCCAGCACCUAAAGGAACUUACAUGAAAGCUGGAGAGGGAUUUUCUACAAAGGCAUUUAUGAUAGGACAAGGGCUUUAAACUGAGGGGGGAGAGGCAAUUCUGAUAAGGUUUAAAGCUGUGGAAGCAAAGACAAAGGAAUAUGAAUUUGGGAAACAAUUUUCAGAGAAAGAAGGUGACAGAAUUCUUCAUCAGAAGUCCUUAUUGAGAAAAUGCAGUGAAUCCUCAAUAAAGUCACCACAAUGGGAACAAAGACCCUUGCAGAAGCUGCUGCAGUGUGGCCACCACAGCUCACUUACUGUCCUCUCCCACAUGGGAUAGGAAAUCUGCUCAGUGGUUCUCAGCAACUAAUCUUCUCUCUUUUUGAGAAGUCUUUUAAAUCUGAUUAAUGAUUUUAAUGGCUGCUUUUUAAAGUCGACUUGGUUAAUACAUAGAACUGGUCCUGAAAACCAGGAUGAAAAGAAUCUGAUUUAUAUUUAUUGAUCACUUUCAGAAGAAAGUCUUUCUGUUCUUCUAAAACCAAGCAGGGACACAGAUUGAGGGAGAAGAUGAAUUUAAUGCCGGGAACUCUUUGAGAUAAGGUAGUCAUAUACACAACCAUUUGUAGGCUUAAGCCCUGUUGUAGCACCAGUUAUAAAUACUUAUCUGAGUGGUCUCAGUGAAUGCAGUGUGAUUUCUAAUGUGUUUGUAUAUUGGUUCCUGAGUGUAAAAGUGGGACUUGGUCCUGAAAAUGAUUGUGCAUUGUACAGCUUGAUUCUGUAUGAUGCAAAUGCCUUUGUUGUCAUGAAGAAACUAUCAGUAAAUGAGUUUCCAAAGCUUUGUCAAAUUAAUGCCCAAGUUGCCAGAACAAAAAACCAUUAUAGGAAAAAUAAGAUCAAAUGAUACAAACUGAAAAUUGUGAGAUUACUUAGUAGUAGUUUCUAAUAUUUUUUGAUUUCAGUAAAUGUAAUCAACUCUUUAAACUAGACUAACAAAGAUGGUUUCUUUAUCAAUAUAGGCUUUUCUUUCCUUUGGAUAGUGUUAUUCACACCAAGGAAAAGCAAAUGUCUCUUGGAUAUCUGUGUUCUUACUAACAUAUGGUUAAUAACUCCUGGUGAAAAAUCGUCUCCAGUGGUGCUACAGAAAUGACAGAAGAUCAUCAUAAUCUGCCAAAUCAGCAUACCUUUUUUUUUUAAUCAAACCCUAAAGACGAUGAAGUUUAGUGGUCACUUGAUGAGUAUGGUACUUCCUCCUCUAUUUAAUUUCUUUGGCAGCAUUGCAAAAGUGUUUAUAAGCAGUUUCUCAUUCCUCUUGAGUGUCAGUGGAGAUGCACAUGAUACUAAUAUUAUCACUUUCAAUAGAGGUAUCUUUUAGUCAUCCCACAGUCUCUAGUUGGUCAGUAGCCUACUGCCUCUGCCACUGGUAUCCUCACUCAAAUGAAUGAGAGAUAAGAUGAAAGCAAGUGACUUUGGUUUCUGUUAUUUAGGUGCUUUCUUUCUAGUAAAAUUAAACCACAGAAGUCAGCUUCCUGACCAAAAAAAAAAAAAAAAACACAAUAAAGGAAAGAAAAGAAAAAUAUAGGACUCCGUUUUUAUAAUCACCAGGAAGUUAUAGGUCCAUGAGUGGGUUUUGAUUGAUCUCAAUAAAUAGACGCUGAUCUGUAAAAGUUUAUCUUUUACUGAAAUGCCACCAUUAUGUGCAGACAGGCUCUCGCUGUAUCUUCUGUGCUUCCUGCUCCUGUUCCAGUCAUUCUGUGUCCUCUGGGCUGUGGUGAUUUCCAGGGGUUACAAAGCUUGAGUUGCACUGCUGUGAUGUGAUGGCCAGCACUUCAGCCUGCAUUACCACAGCCACACAGUAUCCAGACACCCAUGCUUGGUCUGUAUGCUGGAUUAGAGAUACUUUAGAAAUGGGAAUAUACUGGUUAAUGCAGUGUCAUUGUUUACAAGCUGACUGGAAAACAGCCAUUAUUUUUAUAUGGGGUUGAUAUAAUCAGCCAGCCACCUAGAGAAAUGCUUUUUGGCUAGUGCCUUGGUUUCCUUAAAAUGCAGAAUAAGGAAUGCCGUAAAAUAUAUUGCUUUAUUACUGUAAGCCAUAUAUAUUUGGUUUUCCUUGUAAAAAGUGCCCA